rnacentral:miRNA from 1 species
AAGAGAGCAUUCUUGGACAGU